rnacentral:misc_RNA from 1 species
GGGGGCUCGAACCCCAGCACCACCGGUUCGUAAGUUACCCCGGGAUGGUCAUCAGCUGCACGCAUCUCCGGGUGGUAAGAGGGAUCAGUAGGGGAGUAGAUUCUGUCCUCGUCGAGAUUGUACGAGGCAUGAGUGGGGGAGUAAGGGGCGUCGCGAGGGUUCGGGUCCGACGACUCCGCCACGACGGACAUGUCCGCAUCUGCGGCGGGCAUGUCGCCGGAGCCUGCUGCGGCAGCAGCAGGGAGAGAGCCAAGGGCGAGGUCGGAGCCGAGAUCGUCAAGAACAAGUCGGCGGGGUGAUCGAGGGAGACCUAGGUACAGAUUCAGAUCCAUCCAGCGAAGCCUGCUCUCAUUUCCCUCAUCGGCCAUUACAGGUCCCCCACCCCCAAAUCUCAGCAAGA